AGCAGCCGCGGUAAUUCCAGCUCCAAUAGCGUAUAUUAAAGUUGUUGCAGUUAAAAAGCUCGUAGUUGAAUUUCGGGAUUAAUAUGUUGGUCGUGCCUUGGUACGUACUGGCAUUAUUGAUUCCUACCUUCUGAAGAACCUCGAUGUCAUUAAUUUGGUGUCUUGGGGAAUCAGGACCGUUACUUUGAAAAAAUUAGAGUGUUUAAAGCAGGCUCGCGCUUGAAUACAUUAGCAUGGAAUAAUGAAAUAGGACGUUUGAUUCUAUUUUGUUGGUUUCUAGGAUCGACGUAAUGAUUAAUAGGGAUAGUUGGGGGCAUUAGUAUUCAAUUGUCAGAGGUGAAAUUCUUGGAUUUAUUGAAGACUGACUACUGCGAAAGCAUUUGCCAAGGAUGUUUUCAUUAAUCAAGAACGAAAGUUAGGGGAUCGAAGACGAUCAGAUACCGUCGUAGUCUUAACCAUAAACUAUGCCGACUAGGGAUCGGAUGAUGUUAAUUUUUUAAUGUACUCAUUCGGCGCCUUA
rnacentral:misc_RNA from 1 species